GGGGGCGAACCUGGUUUCGACGGGGAUGUUGAAGCAAAGAUAGCGAGUCGUAGUCUCCAAACUACGUUAAAAGUGGAAACUAAAUAUAAACGCAGAAGAUAACAACUUCGCAUUAGCGGCUUAAUGCCGCUUGUCUCCGCCACGAUCCCGUAGCGUGGCCUGAGGCAUCAAACGAAUACGGGCCACCUGAUAUCAUCAAGCUUUGUGUGAUAUCUUGUACUGAUGAAGCUACGCGAUAGUCUACUCUGUCCGUUGAACGGACUUUCGCGGAAUCAAAUAUAACGGAAUGCACUCGGAGAAGUCUCUGUGAACGCAUUUUCGGACGUGGGUUCGACACCCACCGCCUCCACCA
rnacentral:tmRNA from 1 species